rnacentral:rRNA from 1 species
UACGUAGGCAGCGAGCGUUGUUCGGAGUUACUGGGCGUAAAGAGUGCGUAGGCGGUUUUCUAAGUUUGGUGUGAAAUCUCCCGGCUUAACUGGGAGGGUGCGCCGAAGACUGGAAGGCUUGAGUAUGGGAGAGGUAAGCGGAAUUCCUGGUGUAGCGGUGAAAUGCGUAGAUAUCAGGAGGAACACCUGCGGUGUAGACGGCUUACUGGACCAUAACUGACGCUGAGACGCGAAAGCGUGGGGAGCGAACAGG